GAUGAACGCUGGCGGCGUGCUUAACACAUGCAAGUCGAACGAGAAGUGAAGACGGAAACCUUCGGGCGGAAGGCUUUAUUUCGAGUGGCGGACGGGUGAGUAACGCGUGGGUAACCUGCCUCAUACAGGGGGAUAACAGUUGGAAACGACUGUUAAUACCGCAUAAGACCACAGCACCGCAUGGUGCGGGGGUAAAAACUCCGGUGGUAUGAGAUGGACCCGCGUUCGAUUAGCCAGUUGGCGGGGUAACGGCCCACCAAAGCGACGAUCGAUAGCCGAUCUGAGAGGAUGACCGGCCACAUUGGGACUGAGACACGGCCCAAACUCCGACGGGAAGCAGCAGUGGGGAAUAUUGCACAAUGGGGGAAACCCUGAUGCAGCGACGCCGCGUGAGUGAAGAAGUAUUUCGGUAUGUAAAGCUCUAUCAGCAGGGAAGAAAAUGACGGUACCGGAGUAAGAAGCCCCGGCUAACUACGUG
rnacentral:rRNA from 1 species